rnacentral:misc_RNA from 1 species
GGAAAAUGUGUGAAGAUUACUCCAGCUAAAGCUGAGCAUAUCAAACAGUACAAGUGUCCUAGUUGCAGUAGCAAGAGAGCUAAAGUCUAAAAAUUGCGGCAAGGACAAUUAAGUGGUGAUGUUGGAAGGUGUAGGAGUUUUAGCUCAGUUAUCAAAUGUCAAAAGUUAAAUGUUUGCUGAUGGAAUUGGGAUGUCCAUUUGCUUUCUGUUAUCUUGCUUUCGGAUUGCGUUUUAGAUUUUAAAGAAAUUGUGCCUGUUAUCAUCUUGUGUUUGAAGAUCCAUUUUCACUUUUUACUUGUGUAUUUAUUAUG